UACGUAGGGGGCAAGCGUUGUCCGGAUUUAUUGGGCGUAAAGAGCGUGUAGGCGGCCAAACAGGUCCGUUGUGAAAACUGGAGGCUCAACCUCCAGACGUCGACGGAAACCGUAUGGCUAGAGUCCGGAAGAGGAGAGUGGAAUUCCUGGUGUAGCGGUGAAAUGCGCAGAUAUCAGGAAGAACACCUAUGGCGAAGGCAGCUCUCUGGGACGGUACUGACGCUGAGACGCGAAAAGCGUGGGGAGCGAACAGG
rnacentral:rRNA from 1 species